rnacentral:lncRNA from 1 species
AUGUUAGAACAUUGAUCAAACAGUAAGUUCAUAAGCAAGAGUGGGAACAUAUAGACCACUUAAAACAUGUCUAGUGAAACUAUGGCUUAUGAACUAAUAAUUUAUUAUAUAUGAAAAGAAGUCAACAUGCCUACCUACUGAAGAACUCAGAAUAUAACUCAACAAGCACAUUCGCAAUCAAGGUACAUGGUAUCUUACAUUCUGGCAAGUCGCAGCCCACAUUGCAGUCAUCAUCUGUAACUACUUGACUAGGACUAAUUUAUUGAUAUGGCCUUCUUUCUGUUAUGGUGUAUAUAGUUAUAUAUACUCAUUUUGAAUCAUUAAUAAAAAGACUGUUUAAUUAAUGGAUGGUACACCAACCAUAUUUGCAGACAAUUGGAGGGCUCGCCUCACCGGCUGGGGUCCCAUUUUUUAUCCAGAAUAUAACUCAACAAGCACAUUCGCAAUCAAGGUACAUGGUAUCUUACAUUCUGGCAAGUCGCAGCCCACAUUGCAGUCAUCAUCUGUAACUACUUGACUAGGACUAAUUUAUUGAUAUGGCCUUCUUUCUGUUAUGGUGUAUAUAGUUAUAUAUACUCAUUUUGAAUAAUUAAUAAAAAGACUGUUUAACUAAUGGACGGUACACCAACCAUAUUUUUCAGACAAUUGGAGGGCUCACCUCACCAGCUGCGAUCUUUUUUUUUCCAAUCCAUGUUAGAUGCCACAAGAAAAGAAAGCUCUGACAAUGUGUUGAAUCUGCAGGAAAAAUCUCUGUGAUAGCAAAGCAAUAGGACCAAUCGGAAAGGAGUAGGUGGUUGUCGUCAAGGCUUUAUCUUCUCCAGCAAUCUUUCAGCUUCGAUGAAUCCAAGUGGUCCAAGCGAUAGGUAUUUUAUGUGCUUCCAUCUGUUCCAAACCAUUCAUGAAUCACAAUCCUAAAACUUGGUGUAUGACACCAUCAGUUCUGCGUAAAGAUAUGAUAAGUAAGCUCACUUGGGUGUGAAGGGCAAUGCAAAACAAUGGAGGUGUAGAUGAUUCACACUGUUAAAUGGUGGCUGAUGGAAGCCAAACCUGCAUAAAGACCAGUGUCAUAGGUUAUGGAAAUGCAUAGAAAGCCAGUGUCCGAUCAUCAUCCUCACUACUACUUUCACUAAAUAUCUGAAACUGAAGCUACAAGUAGCUGAAGAAAGAACCAAUGUACAUUAAAUGGCUUGUGGCAUCCUUUUGGAAAAGACUCCUACCUGUGAUUUGACUCGGGAGCAUCCUGUUGUAAUAGAGUUCGACCGACCUGUAACAUGUGACUUACUGGAAAAGAGUAACAGGACAGAAUAACAGUCAUGAACAAUAAAGAUGAGAGGGGGAAGAAUCUAUUCAUCAUCAGUACUUGUCCAAAAUAAAUUGCAAUUUGGUACAUUAUAUCACUGAUAGAUAUCUUUACCUAGAGUAUAAUCCUCUUCUCUUCUUCUCAGAUCAUUGACAGUAGCAAUGUGCUUCACAGGAAUUACCAGGUAAUGCCUAAGAAAUUGUUAGCCACCGUAAGAAGUCAAUUCCAAGCAAAAGAGAGUAACUUUGUCUAUAUCAGCAGGUACCAACCAACUUCUCAAACGUUCCAAAAGCAGGAAAUACAACAGAGACGAUCUAUCAUUCCAUUGGCAUUGACAUCAACAAUACCACAGACAUCCACAUGAACGAAUUCCUGUAAUCUAGUUCAAAGAUAAGCUAAGUGACUAGGUAAAUCCAAUUGGCGACUAGGAAUCCUGAUUCAACCGGACG